GCUCCUGUGAGAAUGCCCACAGUCCUCCGCCCGAGAACAUGGAGCUGGUAUCAGGCACAAUUCUAUAUUAGCCCAAGACACCUUGCUUAGCCACACCCCCACGGGAUCUCAGCAGUGACAAACAUUAAGCCAUGAGUGAAAACUUGACUUAGUGAAAGCCAAGAGGGUCGGUAAAACUCGUGCCAGCAACCGCGGUUAUACGAGAGACCCAAGUUGAUAGCUACCGGCGUAAAGGGUGGUUAGGGCAAAAUUAAAAACUAAAGCCGAACGUCCUCAAAGCUGUUAUACGCACUACCCCUGAGGAUAGGAAGUUCAACCACGAAAGUGGCUUUAAAAUUACCUGAACCCACGGAAGCUAGGGCCCAAACUGGGAUUAGAUACCCCACUAUGCCUAGCCCUAAACAACGAUAGUCCACAACAUCUACUAUCCGCCCGGGUACUACGAGCCCUGCUUAAAACCCAAAGGACUUGGCGGUGCUUUAGAUCCACCUAGAGGAGCCUGUUCUAGAACCGAUACCCCCCGUUCAACCUCACCCUUCCUUGUCCACUCA
rnacentral:rRNA from 1 species